rnacentral:rRNA from 1 species
UUAUACCGCGAAACUGCGAAUGGCUCAUUAAAUCAGUUAUCGUUUAUUUGAUAGUACCUUACUACUUGGAUAACCGUGGUAAUUCUAGAGCUAAUACAUGCUAAAAAUCCCGACUUCGGAAGGGAUGUAUUUAUUAGAUUAAAAACCAAUGCCCUUUGGGCUCACUGGUGAUUCAUGAUAACUUCUCGAAUCGCAUGGCCUUGCGCCGGCGAUGGUUCAUUCAAAUUUCUGCCCUAUCAACUUUCGACGGCUGGGUCUUGGCCAGCCAUGGUGACAACGGGUAACGGAGGGUUAGGGCUCGACCCCGGAGAAGGAGCCUGAGAAACGGCUACUACAUCCAAGGAAGGCAGCAGGCGCGCAAAUUACCCAAUCCCGACACGGGGAGGUAGUGACAAUACAUACUGAUACAGGGCUCUUUUGGGUCUUGUAAUUGGAAUGAGUACAAUUUAAAUCCCUUAACGAGGAACAAUUGGAGGGCAAGUCUGGUGCCAGCAGCCGCGGUAAUUCCAGCUCCAAUAGCGUAUAUUAAAGUUGUUGCGGUUAAAAAGCUCGUAGUUGAACCUUGGGCCUGGCUGGCCGGUCCGCCUCACCGCGUGCACUGGUACGGUCGGGCCUUUCCCUCUGGGGAACCGCAUGCCCUUCACUGGGUGUGUCGGGGAACCAGGACUUUUACUUUGAAAAAAUUAGAGUGUUCAAAGCAGGCUUAUGCUCGGAUACAUUAGCAUGGAAUAAUAGAAUAGGACGUGCGGUUCUAUUUUGUUGGUUUCUAGGACCGCCGUAAUGAUUAAUAGGGACAGUCGGGGGCAUCAGUAUUCAAUUGUCAGAGGUGAAAUUCUUGGAUUUAUUGAAGACUAACUACUGCGAAAGCAUUUGCCAAGGAUGUUUUCAUUAAUCAGGAACGAAAGUUAGGGGAUCGAAGACGAUCAGAUACCGUCGUAGUCUUAACCAUAAACUAUGCGAACUAGGGAUCGGACGAUGUUAUUAUUUGACUCGUUCGGCACCUUACACGAAAGUACAAGUUUCUGCGUU